CAGUCGCCACGGGAAUACAGAGGGUGCGAGCGUUAAUCGGAUUUACUGGGCGUAAAGCGUGCGUAGGCGGCUUCUUAAGUCGGAUGUGAAAUCCCUGAGCUUAACUUAGGAAUUGCAUUCGAUACUGGGAAGCUAGAGUAUGGGAGUGGAUGGUAGAAUUCCAGGUGUAGCGGUGAAAUGCGUAGAGAUCUGGAGGAAUACCGAUGGCGAAGGCAGCCAUCUGGCCUAAUACUGACGCUGAGGUACGAAAGCAUGGGGAGCAAACAGGAUUAGAUACCCCGGUAGUCCCUGUCUCUUAUAC
rnacentral:rRNA from 1 species